AUGGAGAACCCCAGGGGGAAAUGGAGGGCUGAAAAGAGCAGACAUGAUUCCAUGUACAUAUUAUCAUGAUUCAAGACUGCGCAGGUAUGGAUGCUGCUCAGAUGGUUUUUGAGGCAAAGGAACGCAUUAUUAUUCCCAUUUAUUGGAUGAGGAAGUUGAAGCCUAAGGAGGUUAAUAAACUGGCUCUGAAUCAGAGGACUAAUAGGCCAGCCCUGAGCAUCUCUUCUGAGAAGAUGAGCUGUUGUCAGUCCUUCUGGGGCUGGAAUGCCAUGGCUGAGAUAUGCCCGUGUCCUGGGGCUUAGCCCAUCCUUCACAGGUCCAGAACUCAGUCCCCAGAGGCACCAAAAACAAGAUCGAAGACUGAGGUUAUAACGGCUUCCAAGAAGCUCCAGAUACCUGGGAUUCAAGCUUCGUCUCCUAGAGAGUAUGUUUGGGGACAUGCCUUCGUCAUAGGGGAUUUUCAGAAACAAAUUUCACUGAAAAUAAAACUUAACCGCAGUUUCUUUGAGGAGCA
rnacentral:lncRNA from 1 species